GAUGAACGCUAGCUACAGGCUUAACACAUGCAAGUCGAGGGACCGGCGCACGGGUGAGUAACACGUAUCCAACCUGCCCUUUACUCGGGGAUAGCCUUUCGAAAGAAAGAUUAAUACCCGAUAUAAAGGAUGGGGAUGCGUUACAUUAGGUUGUUGGUGAGGUAACGGCCCACCAAGCCUUCGAUGGAUAGGGGUUCGGAUAGGAAGGUCACCCACAUGGGAACUGGGACACGGUCCAAAAGCCUAGGGGAGGAAGCAGUGAUGAAGAUUGGUCAAGGGGCGUUAGCCUGAACCAGCCAAGUAGCGUGAAGGAUGAAGGCUUAUGGGUCGUAAACUUUUUUUAUAUAAGAAUAUGUAUUAUAUGAAUAAGGAUCGGCUAACUCCGUGCCAGCAGCCGCGGUAAUUC
rnacentral:rRNA from 1 species